GUAUGUUCUCCUCGUGCUUGCGUGGGUUUUCUCCGGGUACUCUGGUUUCCCCCACACUCCAAAGAUACUGUAUGUACAAUAAGCUGCCUCCAGGCCUCCGUUGCAAAAGAAAUCUGCGAUCUCAAUGGGAUUUGCCUGGUUAAAUAACGGUAAAAUAAAAUAAAAUAAAAUAUGUAGGUCAGUAAUUCUAUUCUGUGGAAGACUAAAUGGAAACGAUUGAAACAGCAUCACUGUUGUCUUUCAUUGCAUACAAAUUUUUAAAAAUAAAACCCACACGUUGUGUGUGUAUGCAUCUGUUUCAUGUUGCCAUCUCUUCUCAUACAGAAUGAUAAAUAUUGACAGCAUAUACAGCAUACCCAUAUAUGUAUCAAUGUUGCUAGAAUCUGCCUUUGGUGAAAUAUAUUGAAAAUAUGGAUAUCGUGUUCAUUCCUUUUCCUGCUGGUGCAGUGUGAUCUUUGUAGAUUGACUCCACAUUUGCUCCACCAUUUGAUAAAAAUAGGAUCAAAUCUCACGCCACCACCAUGCAGAUGAAGUGUAAAUGCUCUUAUUGGCAAUGGAUGUUUUUACUGCAGAGAUCGGAUGCAGUGUAAAUGCUUUUAUUGGCAAUGGAUGUUUUUACUGCAGAGAUCGGAUGCAGUGUAAAUGCUCUUAUUGGCAAUUGAUGUUUUUACUGCGGAGACCGGAUGCAGUGUAAAUGCUCUUAUUGGUAAUGGAUGUUUUUACUGCGGAGAUCAGAUGCAGUGUAAAUGCUCUUAUUGGCAAUUGAUGUUUUUACUGCGGAGACCGGAUGCAGUGUAAAUGCUCUUAUUGGCAAUGGAUGUUUUUACUGCAGAGAUCGGACGCAGUGUAAACUGGGCUUUUUGUGGCAGAAAUUCACUGUUGUCCAGGUUCUGCUUUGUGGAUUUGUUAGCUUGACUCCUCCAUGAGUUGACUGCAGGCAAGACAUUUACGGCUAACAGCUGUACAUACACAAAAUAAAAAAAGAAACAUUUUUAAAGUGCCGUCCAUUAAAUGUUUGUGGAGUGCCCCUUUACAAAUUUGGCACUUGUGUAUUUUACGUCUGCCAGUGUUGAGAAAAAUCCAUUUGUCUUACUGUUAUCACCUUUCUGUUAGUGUCACAGGAUUAUGUCCACAUCAUAUGUGUGGCUGUUUAAACAGGAACAGAUACCAGUGAUGCCUUAUAAACUCUGAGGUAACCAUGUUAAAGCGUUUAGGAAAAGUUGGAUUCCACCCAGAGAAAUAGAACAGCAAAGCUGUUUUAAAUGGCAACUCAAAACUCAUAGAUGAGUUGAGAAAAUCCAUAAAACAAAGUUCUAAAUGUUGUGUCUUGAGUUAAACAUUUGUCUUUUUUGUACCUUUACAGUUCAAAUUUGCUUUUUUUUUUCUUUGAAUGAGAUGUGUAUUUUGGGACACACCAUAGAUGUUAAAAUUUCUAAAGCAAUCUGCAGCCUUGAGCUAUUUCCCUAUCCGAGAUCAUUUUAUGUAUAUAUUUGAUGGCCAUAAUUUUCAGCAGUGUUAGCAAUAUUAAAGCUGGUUUUUUUUCUCUCUCUCUCUCUCUCUCUCUCGUCUAUGAAGAAGGGCCUAUUGCUGAGAAAUAAUCAAAGCUGGGAGUUGUUUUGUCUUCGUUUUACAAAUAUCUGAAGGGUUAUCCUGCAGAAAUAUUUAUGGAAAGACUUUUUUUCCAUCACUUUUUUUGUAUAGAAUAUGCAACAGUUACACUAAGGAAGGAAAUAUUGAUGUCGACAUAGAGUAUUAUAAAUAUAAAUAUAUAUAUAUAUAUAAAACUGGUACAUAAUGAAUACCCUCUCAUUUAUUGUAUUUUUCCAGUUUUAUUAUCAGUGUUAAAUAACCCAUGUUUUGUUUCUUUUUUUUUUCUUCUAGUUGCUAUGUGACUAACUAUUUGCUGCCAUUUACAUCCAUACAGUCGCAUGUAUUCGUUUUGUAAACAAGUAAGGAAAUAUAUUGUGUUAACAUGCAGAAAUACUUUUUUUUUAUAUUAUUAUAACUUGUGAUGGAUCCGCACCACUGCACAUUAAACUGUGAGAUGUAGUUUGCCUAAAGCAGCCUUGACAAGGAACUAUUUUAAAACGUUAGACGUAGAUUAGGACGUGUAUACUUUUGUCAGGAAAGCGUGUGACAAAGAACUGUUUUAGAGUUUGCAUGUGCAUGUGUUUGAAUGAUAUAUAUUUUGUUGUUUUUUUGUGCAAUGUAUACCUAUUUAAAUCCUUAAGUUGGCUACAGUAGCUAUUGUUUUUUAACGUCAUCAUAAGCGGCUUGUAUUAGUCCUAAAAGUGUUUCAUUUUACUACGAGUGUAGCCCCCUACGAGUAACACCUAUAUGACUGUAAUAUGUUAACACUUCUGUGGUCAAGUUGGAAAGUUUCUUUUCUUUCUGUGUAUCUUUUGAGAUGUUUGUCGUGCAUUACUGCAAUUGUGUAACGGUUUGAAUUGGACUGAACUCAGACGUGAGGCAAACUGAUUUUUGGGAAACAAAGAUGUGGGGAUGGGAGGGGGCGGGGCUUAGAGAGUUCACCACAGGUCUGUUUUUCAUGUCCAUGAAACGGCAUUCCAAAAUGUGCCUUAUUAUUUGUUAGAUGGGAAAUCUUUUUAGUGCUGUUGAGAGUUUGGUGAAUAAUAAUAAUAAUAAAAAAAAGUUUAAUGGAA